rnacentral:sRNA from 1 species
GAAGGUCCCGGGUUUGGCGGGUUUUCGCCAUUCUUUAUCGGGUAUGAAGGUUCAAUCGCGAUUCCACAUUUUCCUGAUGAAGACGCAAUGUUACGCGCCAUCCUUAGGUAUCCACUCUCUCCCCAGCUUUUACCCCAUGAGUUUCUCACAAUCCAGUAAUCUUUGCCGUUCUCAGUUCCGUAUCCAACCGCCACA